GGCGUGGUGGCAGAGUGGUUAUCGCGCAAGACUAGAAAUCUUGUUCCUUCGGGAGCGCAGGUUCAAGUCCUGCCCACGUCG